rnacentral:lncRNA from 1 species
CCCAGUCCUCCAGUCCUCCAGUCCUCCCAGUCCUCCAAUCUUCCGGUCCUCCGGUCCUCCCAGUCCUCCAGUCCUCCAGUCCUCCCAGUCCUCCAGUCCUCCCAGUCCUCCGGUCUUCCCAGUCCUCCAGUCCUCCGGUCCUCCCAGUCCUCCGGUCCUCCAGUCCUCCCAGUCCUCCGGUCUUCCCAGUCCUCCGGUCCUCCGGUCCUCCGGUCCUCCCAGUCCUCCGGUCCUCCAGUCCUCCCAGUCCUCCAGUCCUCCAGUCCUCCCAGUCCUCCAAUCUUCCGGUCCUCCGGUCCUCCCAGUCCUCCAGUCCUCCAGUCCUCCCAGUCCUCCAGUCCUCCCAGUCCUCCGGUCUUCCCAGUCCUCCAGUCCUCCGGUCCUCCCAGUCCUCCGGUCCUCCAGUCCUCCCAGUCCUCCGGUCUUCCCAGUCCUCCGGUCCUCCGGUCCUCCGGUCCUCCCAGUCCUCCAGUCCUCCCAUCCUCCAGUCCUCCCAGUCCUCCGGUCUUCCCAGUCCUCCGGUCCUCCCAGUCCUCCGGUCCUCCAGUCCUCCAGUCCUCCC